rnacentral:rRNA from 1 species
GAACGGCAGCAUGAUCUAGCUUGCUAGAUUGAUGGCGAGUGGCGAACGGGUGAGUAAUACAUCGGAACGUGCCCUGUAGUGGGGGAUAACUAGUCGAAAGAUUAGCUAAUACCGCAUACGACCUGAGGGUGAAAGUGGGGGACCGCAAGGCCUCAUGCUAUAGGAGCGGCCGAUGUCUGAUUAGCUAGUUGGUGAGGUAAAGGCUCACCAAGGCGACGAUCAGUAGCUGGUCUGAGAGGACGAUCAGCCACACUGGGACUGAGACACGGCCCAGACUCCUACGGGAGGCAGCAGUGGGGAAUUUUGGACAAUGGGGGCAACCCUGAUCCAGCAAUGCCGCGUGUGUGAAGAAGGCCUUCGGGUUGUAAAGCACUUUUGUCCGGAAAGAAAUCGCACUUACUAAUAUUAGGUGUGGAUGACGGUACCGGAAGAAUAAGGACCGGCUAACUACGUGCCAGCAGCCGCGGUAAUACGUAGGGUCCAAGCGUUAAUCGGAAUUACUGGGCGUAAAGCGUGCGCAGGCGGUUGUGCAAGACCGAUGUGAAAUCCCCGGGCUUAACCUGGGAAUUGCAUUGGUGACUGCACGGCUAGAGUGUGUCAGAGGGGGGUAGAAUUCCACGUGUAGCAGUGAAAUGCGUAGAGAUGUGGAGGAAUACCGAUGGCGACGCAGCCCCCUGGGAUAACACUGACGCUCAUGCACGAAAGCGUGGGGNAGCAAACAGGAUUAGAUACCCUGGUAGUCCACGCCCUAAACGAUGUCAACUAGUUGUUGGGGAUUCAUUUCCUUUAGUAACGUAGCUAACGCGUGAAGUUGACCGCCUGGGGAGUACGGUCGCAAGAUUAAAACUCAAAGGAAUUGACGGGGACCCGCACAAGCGGUGGAUGAUGUGGAUUAAUUCGAUGCAACGCGAAAAACCUUACCUACCCUUGACAUGCCACUAACGAAGCAGAGAUGCAUUAGGUGCUCGAAAGAGAAAGUGGACACAGGUGCUGCAUGGCUGUCGUCAGCUCGUGUCGUGAGAUGUUGGGUUAAGUCCCGCAACGAGCGCAACCCUUGUCUCUAGUUGCUACGAAAGGGCACUCUAGAGAGACUGCCGGUGACAAACCGGAGGAAGGUGGGGAUGACGUCAAGUCCUCAUGGCCCUUAUGGGUAGGGCUUCACACGUCAUACAAUGGUGCAUACAGAGGGUUGCCAAGCCGCGAGGUGGAGCUAAUCCCAGAAAAUGCAUCGUAGUCCGGAUCGUAGUCUGCAACUCGACUACGUGAAGCUGGAAUCGCUAGUAAUCGCGGAUCAGCAUGCCGCGGUGAAUACGUUCCCGGGUCUUGUACACACCGCCCGUCACACCAUGGGAGUGGGUUUUGCCAGAAGUAGUUAGCCUAACCGCAAGGGGGGCGAUUACCACGGCAGGGUUCAUGACUGGGGUGAAGUCGUA